AAGUCGUAACAAGGUUUCCGUAGGUGAACCUGCGGAAGGAUCAUUAUUGAUUGCGAAUGUUGCCUUCAGUGCUGGCCAGCAGCUCGCUCUGGCAAGUGCACGUCGGUGGCUUUCAUCCACUACCCUGUGCACCUUUGGCCUCUUGCUAGCUUCGGCUGGCAGAGGAAUUUUACACAAACUCGAAUGUAAUGAAAUUUACUGUCGUGCGCAAGCACUAAUGUACAACUUUCAACAACGGAUCUCUUGGCUCUCGCAUCGAUGAAGAACGCAGCGAAAUGCGAUAAGUAAUGUGAAUUGCAGAAUUCAGUGAAUCAUCGAAUCUUUGAACGCACCUUGCACCCUUUGGCAUUCCGAAGGGUAUGCUCGUUUGAGUGUCAUUGUACUCUCACUCUCCCGAUCUUUGGAUCGGGAGUGGUGGACUUGGGUGUUGCUGCUUUACCGUGGCUCACCUCAAAUGGAUUCGUGCAACUCCUGGUUGGACAUAGUACGGCGUGAUAAGUGUCUUCGCCGGCACCUCACUAGAGGGUGGCUGACCGGGAGCUCUGUGCUUCAAACCGUCUUCGGACAACAACUGACAACUGACCUC
rnacentral:rRNA from 1 species